rnacentral:rRNA from 1 species
GAUCUGGUCAGAACGAACGCUGGCGGCGCGUUUAAGCAUGCAAGUCGAGCGGCAAGGGCCUUCGGGCCCUAGAGCGGCGGACGGGUGAGUAACACGUGGACAAUCUGCCCCCCGGCCCGGGAUAGCCCAGGGAAACCUGGAUUAAUACCGGAUGAGACGGGACCUGCGAUGGCGGGAUCCGGGAAAGGCGCUACGGCGCCGCCGGGGGAUGAGUCUGCGUCCCAUUAGCUAGACGGCGGGGUAACGGCCCACCGUGGCGACGAUGGGUAGCCGGCCUGAGAGGGUGGACGGCCACAUUGGAACUGAGACACGGUCCAGACUCCUACGGGGAGGCAGCAGCUAAGAAUCUUCCGCAAUGGGCGAAAGCCUGACGGAGCGACGCCGCGUGAACGAAGAAGGCCGUGAGGUUGUAAAGUUCUUUUCGGGAGGGGGAACAACCGUGGCAGGGAAUGGCCGCGGGAUGACGUGAAUCCCGGAAUAAGCCCCGGCUAACUACGUGCCAGCAGCUGC